rnacentral:rRNA from 1 species
UACGAAGGGGGCUAGCGUUGCUCGGAAUUACUGGGCGUAAAGGGCGCGUAGGCGGCACUGUUAGUCAGGCGUGAAAUUCCUGGGCUCAACCUGGGGACUGCGCUUGAUACGGCAGAGCUUGAGGAUGGAAGAGGGUCGCGGAAUUCCCGGUGUAGAGGUGAAAUUCGUAGAUAUCGGGAGGAACACCAGUGGCGAAGGCGGCGAUCUGGGAAGAUACUGACGCUGAGGUGCGAAAAGCGUGGGGGAGCAAACAGG